AACUAAUGAUGAAACUGAUUCUGCCAUAUGAAAUCCACUGAUAUCAUCACCUACCGUUCCAUUCUUUUCUGAAAUU